UCCCUGGUGGCUCAGACAGUAAAGCAUCUGCCUGCAAUGCAGGAGACCUCAGUUCAAUCCCUGAGUCAGGAA
rfam:Ovis aries breed Texel chromosome 2, whole genome shotgun sequence.